AGGGUUUGAUUCUGGCUCAGGAUGAACGCUAGCGGCAGGCUUAACACAUGCAAGUCGAGGGGCAGCGCGGGGCGGCAACGUCCUGGCGGCGACCGGCGGAAGGGUGCGUAACGCGUGAGCGACAUGCCCGUUGCCCGGGGACAACCGGUGGAAACGCCGACUAAUCCCCGAUGGGACGGAGGCCCUCAUGGGUCUCUGUUGAAAGUUACGGCGGCGACGGAUUGGCUCGCGUCCGAUUAGCUUGUUGGCGGGGUAACGGCCCACCAAGGCUACGAUCGGUAGGGGUUCUGAGAGGAAGGUCCCCCACAAUGGAACUGAGACACGGUCCAU
rnacentral:rRNA from 1 species